rnacentral:misc_RNA from 1 species
UCAAACUUGGUCAUUUAGAGGAAGUAAAAGUCGUAACAAGGUUUUCGUAGGUGAACCUGCGGAAGGAUCAUUCGUGUGUGUGGGCAUUCGAGUGCGCAAGCACGAGGAUGCUCACACUUACUGUAGAGAAGAGCUGGUUGCGUUAGCAGCCGGCGUUCCGUUGGGGCGUGCUCUAACGAAACAAAUGAGGCUGAUGAAGAGUUUUCGUCAUGUUUCCAAAACACACAGUCCUCGAUCUUCGUCAAACAAAGUGACUUCUGAAAACAUUUCAUUCAACCACUAUCGAUACUAUCCCAUUUCUAACAAUGUAAAAUAACUAAAAAACAUAACUUUUGACAACGGAUCUCUUGGUUCUCGCAUCGAUGAAGAACGCAGC